rnacentral:rRNA from 1 species
AACGAACGCUGGCGGCAGGCCUAACACAUGCAAGUCGAACGCCCCGCACGGGGAGUGGCAGACGGGUGAGUAACGCGUGGGAACCUACCUUUCGGUGCGGAAUAACUCCGGGACACCGGAGCUAAUACCGCAUCCGCCCUUCGGGGGAAAGAUUUAUCGCCGAUCGAUGGGACCGCGUCGGAUUAGCGUGUUGGUGAGGUAACGGCUCACCAAGGCGACGGACCGUAGCUGGUCUGAGAGGAUGAACAGCCCCACUGGGACUGAGACACGGGCCAGACUCCUACGGGAGGCAGCAGUGGGGAAGAUUGGACAAUGGGCGCAAGCCUGAUCCAGCCAUGCCGCGUGAGUGAAGAAGGCCUUAGGGUUGUAAAGCUCUUUUAGUGGGGACGAUAAUGACGGUACCCACAGAAUAAGCCCCGGCUAACUUCGUGCCAGCCGCCGCGGUAA